UGGGGAAUAUUGCACAAUGGGCGCAAGCCUGAUGCAGCCAUGUCGCGUGUAUGAAGAAGGCCUUCGGGUUGUAAAGUACUUUCAGUCGGGAGGAAGGUGGUAAGGUUAAUAACCUUAUCAAUUGACGUUACCGACAGAAGAAGCACCGGCUAACUCCGUGCCAGCAGCCGCGGUAAUACGGAGGGUGCAAGCGUUAAUCGGAAUUACUGGGCGUAAAGCGCACGCAGGCGGUUGAUUGAGUCAGAUGUGAAAUCCCCGGGCUUAACCCGGGAAUUGCAUCUGAUACUGGUCAGCUAGAGUCUUGUAGAGGGGGGUAGAAUUCCAUGUGUAGCGGUGAAAUGCGUAGAGAUGUGGAGGAAUACCGGUGGCGAAGGCGGCCCCCUGGACAAAGACUGACGCUCAGGUGCGAAAGCGUGGGGAGCAAACAGG
rnacentral:rRNA from 1 species